UACGAAGGGGGCUAGCGUUGUUCGGAAUUACUGGGCGUAAAGCGCGCGCAGGCGGCUAUCCAAGUCAGUGGUGAAAGCCCAGAGCUCAACUCUGGAAUUGCCUUUGAGACUGAGUGGCUUGAGUACGGGAGAGGUGAGUGGAAUUCCCAGUGUAGAGGUGAAAUUCGUAGAUAUUGGGAAGAACACCGGUGGCGAAGGCGGCUCACUGGCCCGUAACUGACGCUCAUGCACGACAGCGUGGGGAUCAAACAGG
rnacentral:rRNA from 1 species